GGUGAAGUGCCAGAGCGGCUGAAUGGGCCUGAUUGGAAAUCAGGUAACUGUCACAGGUUCGGAGGUUCAAAUCCUCUCUUCACCGCCA
rnacentral:tRNA from 2 species